UUGUUUGCCACUCUCUGGCAGUGGGUGUUUUAUGGCUUUGAAAUUCUUUCGUGUCAUGGCUGAUAACAAAAACAUGACCUGUGGAUAUAUUUGUUGACUUUGGAAUGCCUGGCUUCUGCAGUUACAGCAGGGAGUGAAAACAUUGCCCUGUCGAAGCCAGUAUCAUCAAGUCACAACGGUUAUGGCGGUGUACCUGAACGAGGCAAUGACGGCAACGACAAUCCAGUAUACAGUGGCAACUCAUGCGUGUUAGGGGAGAAAACUCCAGCAGAUCCCCUUCCAUGGUGGCAAAUUAACCUCCAAACACAAUAUUGUGUAGAGAUUGUCGCAGUUACUAAUCGAGCGGAUGCUUUUCAAUGGAGACUUCAUAAUUUCACAAUCAGUGUUUACACUGAGAACCCAAGUACCACCCCAACAGCCGUGGCCAGGGUGUGCGCUGUGUACCCCGGGACAGUCGGGGCUGGGGUCCGGGAGGUGCUGCCCUGUGGGUCGCGAGUCAGAGGACAGUACCUCAGGAUACAAAAGAAUGAGAUGCUCCA